CGGAUAUAUCACGUUGAAACACUGGUCCUGAUCUGAUCAUCAAAGUUAAGCAAUGUUGAGUCUGAUCAGUACCUUAGAUGGGUGACCACUUGGGAAUAUCAGGUGCUAUA